rnacentral:rRNA from 1 species
CAACAACAGACUCGGUGAAAUUGUAAUUCCGGUGAAGAUGCCGGAUACCUGCGACAGGACGGAAAGUCCCCUUGGAGCUUUACUGUAGCUUGACAUUGGGUCUUGGUACUACAUGUACAGGAUAGGUGGGAGGUUUUGAAACCAGGACGCCAGUUUUGGCGGAGCCAUCCUUGGGAUACCACCCUUGUAGUACUGGGACUCUAACCAUAGGCCAUGAAUCUGGUCUUGGGACACUGUCAGGUGGGCAGUUUGACUGGGGCGGUCGCCUCCCAAAAGGUAACGGAGGCGCUCAAAGGUUCUCGCAGUACGGUCGGAAAUCGUACGUAGAGUGUAAAGGCAAAAGAGAGCUUGAUUGCAAGACAUACAGGUCGAGCAAGGAUGAAAAUCGGACUUAGUGAUCCGGUGGUUCUGCGUGGAAGGGCCAUCGCUCAACGGAUAAA